rnacentral:rRNA from 1 species
GGGUUGUAAAGCACUUUCAGUCAGGAGGAAAGGUUAGUAGUUAAUACCUGCUAGCUGUGACGUUACUGACAGAAGAAGCACCGGCUAACUCCGUGCCAGCAGCCGCGGUAAUACGGAGGGUGCGAGCGUUAAUCGGAAUUACUGGGCGUAAAGCGUACGCAGGCGGUUUGUUAAGCGAGAUGUGAAAGCCCCGGGCUCAACCUGGGAACUGCAUUUCGAACUGGCAAACUAGAGUGUGAUAGAGGGUGGUAGAAUUUCAGGUGUAGCGGUGAAAUGCGUAGAGAUCUGAAGGAAUACCGAUGGCGAAGGCAGCCACCUGGGUCAACACUGACGCUCAUGUACGAAAGCGUGGGGAGCAAACAGGAUUAGAUACCCUGGUAGUCCACGCCGUAAACGAUGUCUACUAGAAGCUCGGAACUUCGGUUCUGUUUUUCAAAGCUAACGCAUUAAGUAGACCGCCUGGGGAGUACGGCCGCAAGGUUAAAACUCAAAUGAAUUGACGGGGGCCCGCACAAGCGGUGGAGCAUGUGGUUUAAUUCGAUGCAACGCGAAGAACCUUACCUACACUUGACAUACAGAGAACUUACCAGAGAUG